rnacentral:tRNA from 1 species
GCGGCUGUGGUGAAAUUGGUAGACACUGGGGACUUAAAAUCCCUUGCCUUCGGGCGUGCCGGUUCAAGUCCGGCCAGCCGCA